UACGUAGGUGGCAAGCGUUACUCGGAAUCACUAGGCGUAAAGCGCAGGUAGGCGGUUGGAUAAGUCUGUUGUGAAAGCUCCCGGCUCAACUGGGAGAGGUCAACGGAAACUAUCCGGCUAGAGUGUGGUAGGGGUAACUGGAAUUCCCGGUGUAGCGGUGAAAUGCGUAGAUAUCGGGAGGAAUACCUAAGGCGAAAGCAGGUUACUGGGCCAUCACUGACGCUGAGCUGCGAAAGCUAGGGGAGCAAACAGG
rnacentral:rRNA from 1 species